rnacentral:rRNA from 1 species
GACGAACGCUGGCGGCGUGCUUGACACAUGCAAGUCGAACGGAAAGGCCUGCUUUCCCUUGUGGAUUGCGGGUACUCGAGUGGCGAACGGGUGAGUAACACGUGAGUGAUCUGCCCCCAACUUGGGUAUAAGCCUGGGAAACUGGGUCUAAUUCCCGAUAGGACUGCAGGGUGGUGCCUGUGGUGGAAAACGAUUUUCUAGUGGUUGGGGAUGAGCUCGCGGCCUAUCAGCUUGUUGGUGGGGUAAUGGCCUACCAAGGCGGCGACGGGUAGCCGGCCUGAGAGGGUGGACGGCCACAUUGGGACUGAGAUACGGCCCAGACUCCUACGGGAGGCAGCAGUGGGGAAUAUUGCACAAUGGGCGGAAGCCUGAUGCAGCGACGCCGCGUGGGUGAUGACGGCCUUCGGGUUGUAAACUCCUUUCGACCGCGAGGAAGCCACCUGGUUGGAAGGGUGGUGACGGUAGUGGUAGAAGAAGCACCGGCUAACUACGUG